ACUACAAACACUGAAACAGCACCCUCUCUAAAUAUGUUUUCUAUUGAAGUCUUGUGAACUGUAUUGAGCUUCAUCCACCUUAAAAAAUGAAGGAGGAUAUAGAAAUCCCACCUUAUUUUAGUCAUAGAUGUGGUUCUUUAUAGAGAUUGGUCAGUUCUACCGUCGAUCUAAAAUUAGAUCUACUGCAUUAAGAAGGGGGGCCAGGAUGAGGAAAGAUUACAGACUCAUCUCUACUGCUGAUGUGAACAAAUAAAAGAAUAUGGCUUAACUGAAGACAUUCAAAAAAUUUUUGUUUUGGUUAAGUCUCACAUCAAAGAGUUGCCAGAUGUUUAUCUGGAAGCUUUCAAGAGAUGGAGAAAAAUGACGAACAUGCAGGCUAUUCAGUCACAACUUCAAUGAAUACUGUGGAUGAUCUCAGGAAAAAUUGGCAGGGUUGGAUUGAAAGCCAUAAUGAUUAUCAAAAAUGUAAUCCAUUCAGUAAUGAGACCAGGAUCAUACCUGUCCAGAAAGGAGACCCCAUUUAUGGGAGACCUCCUGAAGGUUCUAAAACAGAGCAAAGAGGAAAAGAUGCUCAUGUCCAUGUAGAGAAAGAGCUGGAAGAACUCUGCUGGCUCAUGAAGAACAAUGGAGAAAAAGGAGAAGAUGGAAGCAGGAAAAUGACAUUUAAACAACUCUUUGAAAGGUAUGCAACCAUUUCCAAUAAGCUUGUGGGACUUCUUCUAAGGGCCAGAAAGCAUGGAAUGGUUCAUUUUGAAGGAGAAAUGCUUUGGCAAGGACGAGAUGAUGGCGUAGUUAUAACAUUACUCAAAUAAAAUGGUUUUGUGUAUAUUCUUCUGUUCCACUCAGAUAUCUAGAACUUCCUUUGAUGUUCUAAUCCACUCAAUUAAUGCUUCAAGCUCCCAUUGUCUUUGAACUUCUUCCCAUAAUCAUCUACAUUAAUCACAUGAUAUAUUACAUGAUGAUAAGAGAAAAUUUAUUUUAAAAUAUAGGAUAAAAUCAGGAAAAUACUGUUAUUUAAAAUGUUGCUGCUACUCAAUCUGGUACAUCCUCUAGAGUAGUGAUGGUGAAACUUUUAGAGACUAAGUGUACAAACUCUACCCCCACACCACAUGUGAGCCACUUUUUUACCCAGACAGAGGAGGGAAGAAGAGCUCCCAUUAGGCUGCUGGGCAGAGGAGUGGUUGUGUAAGAAAUGCCCUCAGGCACACAUGGAGAGGAAAAAGGAAGCAGCUCCCUCCAGCACACUUUGGUAUAUAUGAGAAUUCUAAGAUAAUACUGUGGUCACAGAUGUAAAAAUAUUAAAGAUCAAAUCAAAUUGACUUUUUAACAGUUUUAGUCACAAAAAAGUGGAAAGAGUGAAAGUAGAGAAAUGUAAAAGAGGGUAGAAAAGAAGUCUAGCCUAUCACCCUAAAUGUUGCUCUGGUCCUCAGCUAAACCCAGGCAGGGCUCAUUAACCCCUAGCCAGAGGACUCAGUGGUGAAUUAAACAAGGGUUCAACCCAUGAGACCUCCUCUAAGAAGGGGAGGCCUUUCCAGAACUAAACUCUCUAGAAGCCAAGAAAGGAGGGGCAGCUUCUCAUUCACUCAAGCCGAAGCUCCAAAGCAGAAGAUCCAGGAGCAGCCUUACCAGAAGUAGUCCAAGAGCCAGAGUCCCAGGUCAAAGUCACAAGUCAUAGCUCCAAGCCACGGUCCUAGUCCAAAAUCCUCCAAGCCAAUAAUUCAGGCUGAAGAGCCCCUUGGACAGGAAGUUCAUGCCUUUUAUAGUCCUUUUUCUACAUCACUUCCUUCAACUUCUUUCCAAAACUUCCACCUUGGUGAUACUCUGCUGCAUGCCCAUGGAGGCUACUCUGGUCUCAGAGCAAUAUGGCAUCAAGGCAGAUGUCCAGAUAGACUGUCUUUACAUGUAAAUCAGUAAAUGUUUCUAUGUUUUAUUCACUUUUUAAAAAUUGGAAGUACCAAGCACAUACAUUUUAAAGAAAUAUAGACACUAAAUUGUCAAAUGAAACAAAAAAAAAAUGGGAGUUCUUGGGUCUGAGCUGAAUUUAUUGUUUUUUGUUAAUAUUUACCUCACAAUAUUUUGUUCUCAUUUAGAAAAUGAAAUGUUCAGCUUGCAAAAUUUGGAACUUCAAUGAUGAUGUAUAGUAAUCAGAAAUUAUACAUUUCUCUUAAAUCUGUUAAACAUUUUUGGACACAUUUUGGAAGGCACCAAGGGAUCCCCAAGGUCUAAUUUUUAAUGAAAAUACUAAGUGAUAAAUUUUACUUAGCUAAAAUUCAUAAUGAGAAGUAGUUUAGUUUAGCACAAUGGUGUUGAACUCAAAUAUAAAUGGAUCCAUACAGGUUGCAUAAUGAUUUAGAAAACCACAAAUUAAAAUUAUUUGUUUUAUUUUAUUUUAAUUUAUUAAACAUUUCCCAAUUACAUUUUAAUCUGGUUUUGGCUUUGAGGGUUUUGCUGGCUCACGGGGCCAGUGGACUUUAAGUUCAACACCUCUGAAGUACAUGCAGUCAGUCUCAGAGUCAGGAAGACCUGGGUUCAAUUCUCACAUCUGUUUUUGUGACCCAGGGCAAGUCAUUUAGCCUCUGAGUAUCUCCAGAAAUGUAGUGAUAAGUCACAGAGCAGAUGGCAAUCUAUAUUGGUGAAGAGAGUUUAAUCAUUGGAAGUUCCCUAUAACAAUGAAAGCACAGUACUAAUGAAAUCUCACAGAUGACUGAGAGGUACUGGUCACUUUUGUAGAAGUUGAAGAAUGACAGGUGGAAAGCAUGAGGGCUCCAUUGGUAUCUACUUUAUGUCAAGAGAAAGUGAUGAAACUAUCAGCAUUUUGGCUGAACCUCCUGUGGCCAACUCAUCAUGGUAUCUUAGAAAUAGAGAUGGAAGGGACUUCGGAAACCAUUUAGUCCUUCAUAUUACAGAUGAGAAAACCAAAAUCUAGGAAAGGUAAGUGAUUUGUCUAAGGUGACACAGGUAAGGGUCAGAGGUAAAAUUUAAAUUCAGGUCCUCUGAUUCCUAAGUAACCCGUACAUGGAUAGGUUGCUGUCUACAUCUCUAGAGUGAGUAUCCAUAUCAAUGAAAUCCAGUUGAGCAUCUGAGAAUUAGCCUUGGUGUUGCAGAACAUGCUGAGGUGAACUACCCAUACUACCUACCUGCUGCACCUACCUCACAAGAUUAGUAUAAAGGUCAAAAAACCUAAUGUAUGUGAAAUAUGCAUAACUUUAUGCAAAUAUAAGUAAUUUUUGCUAGUCAUCCUCUCUACUCCUUUGUUAACCAUGGGGGAAAGUGCCUUUGCAAAUUGUCAUAAGCUUCUUCAUUACUAAGACACUGAACUGUCACAGAAUUCUGGUAACAAAAUGUCAAGCAAUGGCUUAGUAAGACACAGGGUCAUAUCAAGAUCUGAAUAAAUUUUAUAUGUCCUUUCCUCAUAGAAUGGAAAAAAAAAUCUGGUUUCAUAGUUACAAAGAAGAGAAUGCUGGCAGUUGCGGGGGAAUAAAACAUUCCUUUUUCUUGGCUAAGAUGCUCUUGCGUCAUGCUCUUUUAUUAUGAAAGCUAUUCAGGAUCAUUCUCUUCCUAACUUUUGCUGUAUGCUGCUAGAUCACUUUCCAAACUGAUUCCACUAAUUUCCAUUUCUACUAGCAAACAAUAAAUGAGCCUAUUUACCCAUAAUCUCAUCAGCAUUGAAUUUCCUUAUUUUUUGUUACUUCAAUCAAUUUGAUGGGUACAUAGUAAUGUCAAAAUUGUUUUAAUUUGCAUCAGUUUGAUAGGUAGAGUAUUUGAGGCUUAAUAAUUUGUGCUUCUUUUUAAAUUGGUCUUAUUCUUUGACCAUUUGAUUCCUAUUUGACUAGGAGUCAACUUAAUUUAUUUUUUUAUAAGUUCCUUCUAUCAUAUUACCUGGAAAGGUCAUUGCAAUUGGUGGCUCACCAUACAAAAAGUUACUUCAAAAGCCACCACUCUCUUAUGUGUGAAUGAGGGCAAAUAUUAUCUUUCUUGUGUAUUUGUAUCCUUAGUGCUUAACAAUGCCUGACAUUUAACAGACACUUAAUAAAUGCCUUUUCAAUCAUUCAAA